AUUGAACGCUGGCGGCAUGCUUUACACAUGCAAGUCGAACGGUAACAGGGUGCUUGCGCCGCUGACGAGUGGCGAACGGGUGAGUAAUGCGUCGGAACGUGCCGAGUAGUGGGGGAUAACGCAGCGAAAGUUGUGCUAAUACCGCAUACGUACUGAGGUAGAAAGUGGGGGACCUUCGGGCCUCACGCUAUUCGAGCGGCCGACGUCUGAUUAGCUAGUAGGUGAGGUAAGAGCUCACCUAGGCGACGAUCAGUAGCGGGUCUGAGAGGAUGAUCCGCCACACUGGGACUGAGACACGGCCCAGACUCCUACGGGAGGCAGCAGUGGGGAAUUUUGGACAAUGGGCGCAAGCCUGAUCCAGCCAUGCCGCGUGUCUGAAGAAGGCCUUCGGGUUGUAAAGGACUUUUGUCAGGGAGGAAAUCCUAGUGGCUAAUAACUGCUGGGGAUGACAGUACCUGAAGAAUAAGCACCGGCUAACUACGUGCCAGCCGCCGCAGUAAAAC
rnacentral:rRNA from 1 species